UAAAAAGAAACAAGCCAGCACACAAGUACACUUCCUCCUUGUGUGGCAAAACCAAGAUGAAAAGAUGAGCUGUGGGGAUCUGGCAUUGUGGUUCCUGCAUGCAAACCAUAGCGAGCGGGUGGUGCCUGGAACUACAACACCACGUCUGCUGUCACAGCAAAGUCAGCUCUGUCUCUUUUACAAAUCUGAC